rnacentral:lncRNA from 1 species
CAGAUGCGGCUUUCCCAAAGGAAGCUAAAACUGUCUCUCUCCAAACACACAAAUGAUAGAAAAGAAAGAAAACAGCGACCUCAUCGUUUAUAAGAACUCUUCAGUGGUGUGUGCAGCCAUCAAAACAGCCACAUUCCCUCAAGUCAUAAAGCUUGAUUCAGAGCUAAGACCUAACUCUUCAUUCUACAAAGGUUGGCAGAGGCAAAGAGGAAUCAUAGCUUGCAUGCUAUAAGAGAAAGAUUGUGAGGAGCAGAGAUCAGGUCCUGAAGUGAAGGAAAGGAGCUGACCCCUGUAGUAUCAAAGGGGAAAGCGAAGCCUCAGGCACUGCAAUGGAAGUUGCUGCCUGUUCUCCCAAAGACCUCAAUAGGAUCACACAUAAGAUGGCUGCCUGGUGCAAAUGAAAGACCCUCCUGUGGAAAGACUUGUCUUCUAGAACUUCCCCAACCAGAGAAAAGAAGCUAUCUUAACCCCACACCUCAAAAGACAGCCUGGGUUUCUUGUUAGUGUCUAUUCCACAACUUUCACAUGAAGCCAAUGUUCAAUGUUCAUUUUCUAGUCAAAACUCCUAGUCCUCUUAAGCAUAUGCAAAGUUUGCUCUGCCCAUAGUCUAUAAAUAGAACAACCAGGUCUAUUUUUGAUGUCACUUAAUGAAUGUUUUAAACCAAGUGUUGAGACUGCUCAGGGAAAAAACAAGGUUUCUUUCAAAACCUUACUGCUCCUUGACAAUGCACUGUUCAUCUGUUCAUCUAAGAGCUCUGAUGGAGAUGGACAAAGAAAUAAACCAUGUUUCUCAUAUUUAUGAGUGAUUCCAGUCCCACUCUGUGUCCCUUAGACUAUGAUUAAACUCAACUUCUAUGUCUCAUUAUUUAAUAACCACCUUUUUAAAGGUCAUAACGGACACAGAAAUGGGAACUUCUGGGGGCUUGGCAAAGUCCUGGAAAGAACCCACAUCUGUAGAUCCAUGACUCACAAGAAGAAGUCAAGAGGUCAGUAUUAAUAAACAUUUGGAGGAAGUAGAUUUUUGCCCUCAUACACAAUGCUGCCUUUGUUAGGGCUUUGGUGGGGGAAGUACCUACAGAUAUGGUAAACCCACAAAGGUGCUGAAGGUGCAGUUCAGUUACUAUGUCUUAUGAUAUCACUAUGAGAGGAACAAUUGCUUCUUUUUUUUUUUUUUUUUUUAACAAUUGCUUCUUAUGGUAAGCAAUGAAAGGAGGUUUUGGUUCUUCUGGUGAAACAUGCUCCUGGUGAAAGGUGCUGUGGGCAAAGAUGAGGUGACAGCAGAGGGUUUAGAGUAUUUAUAAGUGACUUGAGAAGUCAGCAACCAGAUUGGAGAAAAUUACAAUUUUCAAGGAAGAAACACUGUGCAUUAAAAGCCACCAAACAGCAUCACAUGCCACCGGAAACUCUUUCAUGAAGAGAAGUUUCAUGAAACCCAUCUAUCAGACUUCAGUGUCAUAUUAUUUGAAGGAACUCACAGUCUUCCAAAAUGAGCAACCACCAACCUAAUCGCCAGUAACUCUCACCCCACUGCUACCAAUAAGAUUUAGACCUGCUGAAAGCUCGAGUGCUAGUUGCCAUUUUUUAGCACAAAAUAUUUUAAUGAGGGUAUACACAUUGCUUUGAAGACACUUAACAAACUAUAGUAUAGUAUAAACUUGAAUGUGCUCUGGAAAGCUAAAAAGUAUUUGUGUGAUUCUCUUGUGAGACUUGCUUUACAAGAGAGACAAGCAACUUCAUAGAUGACAUCGAAGUGUUACUGGUACGGGUAUAUCAAACACAUGCCAUCUCUAAAGUAUGUAAAACAAAACAAAGCAAGCCAACAACGAAAAGCAGUUGCAGCUUUCCUGUUGACUAGCUAACUUUGUGAAGCCCGUCCAUCAAGAUUCCAUACAAAAGGUGUUGGUGUGGUAAAGAAAUAUGCUAGAAAGAAUGUCUAAAAUGAAUAACGGAUCAAACUUUCUGCUUUUGUCUUAGGUAGGUGUGUCCAGCUGUGUCUGCAGCAAUGAAUGCAGCCAAUCAAUCUUAUCCAUUAUCUUUGACAAUUUAAACAAGAUCAAAGGUACCCAAAGGGUUCUGGGAGCUAAGAUCUCCAUAGUCAUUACUAACCCCUCCUAAAAACCCACAUGGUGUUAGUCACUGGUAUAUGAGGGUUGCUCCAACUGUAGAAUGAAUGGUGAGAAACCAAAAAUUCUCAGGGUUUUAUAUCAGUAAUAAAAUGUGUCAUUUGACUGUAGAUGAAAGACCUUUUUAAAGGGGAAAAUAAAUGCUCAAAUAUAGUAGCCAUUUCUUCCAUUUUAUUAACUUUUAUCUUUUAGACAAGUUAUAUAAUUAAUGGGAAAGGCAAGAAGGCACAGGGUUGCCUUUUGCCUGAAUACUAGUUUUUGUGAAGUACUUCCUUUAAAUGUAAAAGCAAUUAAUGAAAUCUUCCAAUAUGUCAUGUUCUACAAUAAGUGGCCCUAGCAUUCAUAUUUUUACGUGGGUCUUUUUGUGUACUUUUAACUGUUUGUCGAAAACUAGAGAUAGAUGAUCAGACCUUAAUGCCACUUUAAAAGAAAACCUAAAACACUCAAUCCAGUAUCAUGAUUAUAAUUCAGUGACAUUCCAAAAUGACACUAAGACACUCCAUAAAUAACCAAAAGAAAUAUCUUACAAUAUAAGUUAUGGAAUAUGAGCUUGUAGUUGAGGAAGUUAAUAUGAACAAAUAGUGCCUUUUAUUGUAUCAGAUAUCUACAGUUGAAAUGUGUAGGUCUGACUGAACAUGGUCUCCUGAAGGUAUUAAGGCUAGAUUUGUUUUGAGUGACUUGCUUGGCUUUGGAAAGAAUAAUCUUAGCUUCGAAGAUGUGAAGCCUUCAGGGGUCCUGUUUGUUCCAGAAAGAGACUUCCUGCCUGGCAUGAAAUAUUAGCAUAGUGUUCACAGUACAUGAGCUUUGAUUUAUUUUUCUUCCACCAAUGUGAUUAGUUUCCACUACUCUCAAGCAAGAGUCCGCAAUGCCAAAGUCAUGGUGGUCUGAGAAUGUUGUCGGUCGGCAAAUCCACUACACAUUUCU